CCCUUGAUGUUCCAGCUGUCACAGUGAGACACCAGACUUGUGGGAAAACCUGUCUUGAAUUCCCAGCCGCAGGCAAAGAGCUGUCCUGCUAAGUCCAGCGAACCCAAAUUGCACAACUGUCUUGAGAUCAUCCUGCAUGGACCCCAUCGCUGGUGAGGGCUUUUCUCCCCCUGAAAUCCUUUUAAGCCUGGGGAAAAGAGAGUAAGGAGAAAGUGGAAUGAGAAAGCAGCAAUCAGCUGGAAAUUCUGUCAGGAGACACAGGUUCGAGCCCUGGUCCGGGAUGAUCCCACAUGCUGUGGAGCAACUAAGCCCGUGUGCCACAACUACUGAGCCUGAGUGCCACAACUACUGAAGCCCGCGUGCCUAGAGCCUGUGCUCCGUAACAAGAGAAGCCACUGCAGUGAGACGCCCGUGCACCGCAACGAAGAGUAGCCCCUGCUCACUGCAGCUAGAGAAAACCACGCACAGCAGCAAAGAAA